GAGAGAGAGAGAGAGAGAGAGAGAGAGAGAGAGCUAGGCUUCUAUGCUUUCGAAAGUACGGAAGCCUCCGUACUUAUAAGUUGUUUUCAAUAAUGGGACAUCUGAUUCGGCGAUCGGUUCCGUUAGACAUGAUCUACGCUAUUAGAACUACCUAGAAAUCAAAUUUCAUAAAUUUUUGACUUCGUUUGUCUAGUAAAUGAGUAGCCUAAAAAAGAACGGCUGAAAAUAAAAAUUUCAUAAAAAACAGUGAUAAAGGACUCAAAUUUCAAAUCGGAAGUAUUGGUCUUGCUAUUGAUGUUAAGUAGAAUUUUCUAUUAAAUUUUCAUCUAAUUUGGAUACUUCUACACCUUGAACUCAAAAACGUGCCACAUCGGCCGUUAAAAUAGUCAUUUUUGAGACAUUUUGAUCACUUGGUAAAUGACGUCAAAAAAUUAUAAAAUUUGGUUUCUAAAUAAUU
rnacentral:lncRNA from 1 species